GACGAACGCUGGCGGCGUGCUUAACACAUGCAAGUCGAACGGAAAGGCCUGCUUUCCCUUGUGGAUUGCGGGUACUCGAGUGGCGAACGGGUGAGUAACACGUGAGUGAUCUGCCCCCAACUUGGGUAUAAGCCUGGGAAACUGGGUCUAAUUCCCGAUAGGACUGCAGGGUGGUGCCUGUGGUGGAAAACGAUUUUCUAGUGGUUGGGGAUGAGCUCGCGGCCUAUCAGCUUGUUGGUGGGGUAAUGGCCUACCAAGGCGGCGACGGGUAGCCGGCCUGAGAGGGUGGACGGCCACAUUGGGACUGAGAUACGGCCCAGACUCCUACGGGAGGCAGCAGUGGGGAAUAUUGCACAAUGGGCGGGAGCCUGAUGCAGCGACGCCGCGUGGGGGAUGACGGCCUUCGGGUUGUAAACUCCUUUCGACCGCGAGGAAGCCACCUGGUUGGAAGGGUGGUGACGGUAGUGGUAGAAGAAGCACCGACUAACUACGUG
rnacentral:rRNA from 1 species